UGCUAGCACAGACAUGAAAAUUAAAUUUUGACUAGCUACAGAAAUAUAAUAAAAGUCUUUCAAAUCUAAUCUAUUGCCAAACGAUAAUCGAAGAGAAUAAGUGCCAACGGUCUCUGCAGCAACCUUUACUCUAUUGUCAACCCGAAGGAUCAUGUCACCUUCCCUCAACCUCCUACUUUCUAUCAGACCCUAUAUUGAGGUACAUAUAUGAGCACUCGAACCAGAGUCCAAUAUCCAACUAGAAGUAGAAUAAAUCGUAAGGUUAGAUUCGAUUACGAGCAUACCUUCGGAAGGUUUAUCAUCUUUUUUGGUCUUUAGGCUCUC
rnacentral:lncRNA from 1 species